rnacentral:ncRNA from 1 species
GGCUCGGGCGCGAUCCGGUGGGACGGAUCGCAGGAAUGGAGCCCCCCCGUUUCGCAAAGGGCAUGUGCCUGCCGAGGCCCGGCGGCAGGCGC